GUCACUCAGCUUUUUAUCUGCUGUAUUCAUGGCAAGGUGAGCCUUGGAAAAUGAACAGUGAUCAAAACAGACACGUUCUAGAAAGAACCUUCUGUUUGAUCAAGAGUACAUCUUCCUAUUUUUGCGUGCCUUAUGUACAGUAGCAGACGGGAAGUAAGACCCUGUUGAGAGCUGGAAGAAUGGAAACCUCCGCAGAAUCAGAAUAACCUUUCCAAGACCGGCUGUCUCAGACUUCUGCUUGGCGUGCUUCUUCCCAUCGUCCCUUUCCUGAGGUCCCUUUCCUGAGAGGCUUGGCUCGGCUACUGAGUCACCAGAUAAAACACAAAGGCUCCAGACGCUUUUUGCACUCCAGUUAUAAGUAUAAAGGAGAAAGAUCAAACCACUCAGGGAGGGACGGUUUUUGCUCAUGAGCUGGAAAAAGGGUGGUGGGGGUCAGUCUCUGCCUUGGCCCUUGUCACCAUCACCAGGGAGCCAGAGGACUCUGAAACGGUCCCUUGAUGGUCUUUGGUCGAGUCUAGAGAAUGCAGCCAUCCCCAGCAGCAGGAUGCUGCCUGCCCCUGGUCCAGCUAAGAGGGACUCCUGUCUGGGCUCUGGGCCUGCUCAGCAUCCUCUCUCCGUCAGGGGCAAGCUCAAGACUCCCUGGACAUCCUAGUGCUUGAGGACCAGGGACGGGGCCCUAGACAACACAAGGGUUGAUGGAAUUCACAGGCCAAAGUCACCAGUGGGGCACUGGACCGUCAGGCUUGAGACCUCUCGUCACCCUUGGCCUGGACGAUGGUGGGGCCCCAUGCCCCAUGCCCUUGACUUGCUUAGACAACACAGACAUGAACUUGUUUGAUUUUUGCACGGGUGCGUUAUUGGUGAUGAAGUCAUGCUGACUUACUGUGGGUUUCGGGGAGAUGUCCUGUGGCAGAGUGCUAAUAAUGACAAAAAUAAUCAUAAAUUUAAAAAUAACAAUAAAAAUCAGCAAUGUGAAGAUUGUUUUCAGAGCAGGGGAAGAAGCGAGAGGACAGCUGAGUGUCUUUUCCAAACGGUUGGGAUAUCUGACUUCUUGGAGUCUUUUUCAGGAAGUGAGCAUUGAACGCCUUACUCCAGGGGGUGGUGGGUUGUGUCUAGUUCUCCUGAGGGCGGCGUGCUCCAUCCUUCCCUCUCCCUGUGUGCUCAGGGCCACCCCUUCCUCCUCGGUCCCCUGGGCUUCCGUGCUCCCUCCCCCUCAUGGGGACUCCUCCCCGCCUCCAGGUGAACAGCAGGCUGAGCAGACCCCAUCCACCCCUGCCCAGACACCCCUGCCUCACCUCGGGGCAGACAGUGAUCUGGCUCCCAGCGCGUUGAUGAAACAGAAAACUAACAUCCUUGGCCAAAUGCUGGGGCUCCUGCUUCAGGGAACUUGUAAAAGCAAGAGUGGUUUAGUUUUCCAAGGCGAAGUCAUUCACUCCAUCUCCCCCAGAGGAGAGGGGACAUGGCAAGAUUGCUUCUCACCAGCGACCAGCUCUCAUCUAAAAGCACCUUUUUAGAAACAAAAUGAUUUUAUGGAUAAUUUAUCCAGUUAGCCAUCAUGAAGGCAGUCGCUGGAGUAGAGAACAUGGCAGUGAACAUCAACUACGAAGACCAGUGGGAAGUCCCAGGGGAAACAGAAGAUGGCAUUUAGACAUCAUUAUCUGCACAGGCCACCACCCCGUCACCCUGAGGCAGGUGAGCGCUAGGUCACCCACAGGAGGAGACGCCCACAGGACCCGCCAGCAGAGUACGAGUUGCGCACUUGUGAAAUGGUGCCUUUCAACUCAACAGGUAACGGGUUCCUACGGCUCAUCAGUCCUGCUCAGUCCCUGGGCUUCCCGAUGGCUCCAUGACGGCGCUGGGCUGCUAGGGUAGGCUUUUGUCCUUCCUGCCUUUUAUCCACAAAUGACCUAAGGCUCUUGAAGGUGGCAGAAGUGACUUGAACUCAUGUUUGUUGUCAAGAAGAUUUUGCUAAUGUUUUUCAAAUUUACGAUUACUGUGAUUAUGUUUUUCAGUACAGAUUUGAAGACCGGAAUGGAGAAAACAGAAAGGAUUAAUGAAACAGGAGUGAGAUGUAUAUGUCACGUGCAAAGUGGGGGUGGGGCUCUGGCCGUGCAGUAAUUGGCCCUUUGUGCUGAGACGUGUCUAUGUCACAGGUGGAACACCAGGCAUGGGACCUUUGCUAAGACCAAAGGUAUCUCAGGCCUUCAGAAUGUUUCGCUUUCCAUGGUGUCGGUCACCUGCGAUCCACAGGAGUCUGGAAGCUGGUGAUGCUCCUUCUGGGGCUCCGUGGGGUCACUCGCAGCCGAACGCAGCACCACACGGCCAUGUCAUUCACCUCACUUCUCAUCACGUGGGCAUUUUGUCAUCCACACCAUCAUUGUAGGAAGAAGGGCAGUCGUCCUCAGCCUGGGGGAUCCUGCUGCCGGGAGACAGAGACAUCUGCCCCUUCACAGCAGGGAAGCAUCUGGACCCACGUGUCCGUGAGACCGAGGUUGAGACAUUCUGCUUCAGGGACGCUGAGGCCCCGAGAUAUUGUGGCCACCUGGAUCAAUGUGCCUACAGUGGCCCCGUGACUCUGAAGGUGAUCAAAAGCCACAUUUCUGGGUGGCAGGCACUCAGCAAGACAAUCCCCAUGCGUGACCACUGACCGCCACCUGUGAGGAAGACAGCAUGCUGGGCUUCUUCAUGGAAAAUCUGUAGCUCCAGGAGGGCUUGACAAGUUGGUACAGCUGGAGGAGAAGUGGAAGAAGUGGGGAGCACUGCAGUUCAGAGACUUGUACCCAGAUCCAGGAAAAUCUACGCUCAGAUCUCUGCUUUGUCCCCUGUGGGCUGUGAGCACCAGGCAGAUUCCCUGAGCCUCAGUCUUCCUAGCGGGUUAUGGGGAUGGUGCAGCUCGGCUCAGAGGGCUCAGCAGAAUGCCUGAUGCUCAGCGCAGAAGGUCAGUUGUAGAGGAACUGUGUUGUGGACCUCGCAGCGCUGAGUUUCGUGCCCGCCUCAGUCUGUGUGCUGUGCAUUUCGGGUUCUUGGCAGAGGUGGCCUGCGGGCAUGCUGGGUUUGACCAUAUUACAUCUUGUGCAUUCAUUUUCGAGACUGGAGGUUAGGAAUCUUACCCAAUGUUGACAUUUUUGACUUGAGAUUUGGAGAUCUGGCGACUCUGAUCCAAUGGGCUUGUAGCAGGUGGAGGCACAAGAUAGUCACCUGAGUACGUGGCCAUCGUGUGGUGUGCGCUCUUGGAAGGAUGGAUUUCUCUCCAAAUUGCCUCAAGUGUGCAGACGUCUUGAUAAGCAACACCUGACUUUCCGCGAGUGACAUCAAUUUCAGCCCUUGUUCUGGAACUGAAAAGGCCAAUGCUUCCAUUUAGCUCAGAGCUUUCUAAUUCUGUCCUUUGUUUGAAUUCCUUCUGGACAGUUCUGUUUGGUGUUCGGCGGUGAUGUUCAUCACAAGGGCAGAGUUGAAGAGGAAGCUUUUGAUCUCAGGCAAAGCAGUACAGUCGGCCAGGUGACAAUGACCGUCUGCGUUAUUACAGGGGUCCCUCCUUCCCAAGUGCUCUGUUACACACCCUCUGAUGUGAUUCUCACCUGUGAGGUGCCUAGGGGAAGAUAUGACGACACUUCUUCCCAGCACCUGACCAAGCUGAUAGCUUGAUCCUCAUUCAGACAUUUUGUUCAUGUCCCAUCUAGGACUGUGCUCUUCCUCUCAGCUUUUUAGAAGGUGUCCUGGGGUCCAGCAAAGCUGGACGACUCCUGAAGGGACGAACCAUAUCUAUCUCCUCUUGCUGCUAUAACAAAUUAACUACAGACAGUGGCUUAAAACAAAGCAAAUGUAUUAAUUUACAGCUCAGUGUAUCCGAAGUCUUACAUGGGCCCCCUGGGGCUCUAGUGAAGGUGUGGGCAAGGCUGUGUUCCCCCCGGGGUCUGUAGGGCAGACCUUUCCCAGUGUCCAGAGGCUGCCCGCAUCCCUUGGCCGGGGACGCCCUCCAUCUUUGAACUGGCCGGACUGGUCAAGGCCUUCUCAAGCCACUUAUGACGCUGACAUUCCUGUUCCCCUCUUUCACUUAUAAGGACCCUCAUGAUUACAUUGGGCGACAUAGUCACAGGUUCUGAGGACUCGGAUGCGGGCAUCCUGGGGAACGUUAUUGUGUUUAUUGCAUGCACUUAAACAGGUUCGUUACUGAUGAACUACUCAGAGACUUUAAUAUACAAAAGGCGUGUGCUAAUCCACAAAGGGAGGAGUGGUUAGUGUCCCCACGGCCACGGGCCCCACGCACUGUCCCACUUACAGUGCUGUCUUGUGUUCCAUCAUGCUCGGAGCGCACCCCACUUUCUCUAGUCCGCACAGCCCAUUGGGAGUGGUCCCCUGCCUCCCACUUCAGUGUUACAUUGAGACAACCUCCUUGUCCCUUGCUGAGGGGCAGAAGGCACUGGCUUUCUGCUCUUCUGUGGUGAGCACCCGGCUCGACUCUGACUUCGGCUGUUGUACUAGGAUUCCCGGGAGAGCCUGCUCCUUAAGGCGUUUUCCUAGUAAGCCCAUGUCUCAUUCAGGUCUCAGCUCAGCUUCCCAGAGAGGCUACAGUGGUUCCUUCUCGAGUGCCCUUCCCCCUGUCAGAGGCUGGAAGAGGAACUCAAGGAGCCAUAGAGCCAACGCUCUGAGCCAACUCAUAUCAGCCCAUCGAGUAGCACUGAGUUACAACUUGGUCAGUCUGAACCCCUGCCAAGGGAGGGAAGCUUUUAGUGGACAGUUGUGAUGCUCUGUGUCUGUGCUUUCACCUCACAAUGCCUUUGGGAUCAAUGUGAAGCUGUCUUUAAUGAUUUCAUAUGUGUUUGUUUAUUUGUUCUUCAAGUGGGGCGAUGACUGCCUUCUCUAGACCCAAGUCAGCCAAUGAGUAUGUUUAGAUCGAUUUGUAUUCCCCAGGACCGGUCUCACGGGCCAGAGAUCGACCAGGAAAGCCUGUGGUCCAGGGACUGUGGGGAUGCCUGAUGAGAACUUUGCUUGGAUGCUUUGCAGCACUUUCCUUUCAAAAUGGGUCUCACCCACGCUGUGUGCUGUGUGUUGGGGGCUUACCUGAGGCCAUCCCUUGGAAGCCCCUCAUUAAAGACAAAGCACAAGUGGGUGUGGAAUUUUGCCUUAUAAGUUCUGUGUGGUGUGCGACACUGUCCUAGUCUGGGUUUACCUCUCCCCAGCACUAGUACCCUUUCUGGGGAGAUGUUUACCUUUAUAAGACAGAUCUCUGUAUGGGCGUGCUCCUGUCUAUGCCAGGACAAGGGGGAGGACGCCGAGUCUCUAGAAACGCCUGUCAGUGCAGAGUGGACAGCAGCCCCCUAACCUUGCUCAGUGGGCUCUCCCACUAA